UAUCGGUAUGUCAUUCUGAUAGCAGGAAUAACUUCCGUCAUGUAUCAGGAAUGCCUGUAAAACCCUGGGGCUGGGGUGGGGGGUUGACCGAGCGGGUCCCAGGGACAAAUCUGUUCCUCUGAAAGGUUUGCUUGGUUUUAGAUUUAAAUUUGAAUAUCUUAGGAGGGUGUCACCUGCCAUUCCCGUUAAGCACCUCCUCACCCACACCCUCCUCUCUCCUGGUACUUGGCCCCGAAAUAUACAUAAAAACUGACGGAGGAGGAGGGCUGAAUGGUUGCUUAGUCCUCACUUUCCAUUCUAUGCGGCUAGCAAACGUUUCUUUCAUACCUCAAGGGAGGGUAGGGCUUGGACCCAGAUCUUUCCUGGCAGGGAAAGGGUUGGGGUAGGAGUGGGAACUGCAAGCCAGUAGGGAAGGAAGAGGCCCUGGUUUGGAAGCCGUGGCUAUCGUUCAGAUAGCAGUCAGGGAAGCCAGGACAAAUGAAGCCACAUUUGAAACUUCUUUCAUUCCGCUCUCAGCCACUGCAAUAAGAGAAUGUCCCAGUGUCUUGUCUUCCUUCUCCACGAAAACUGCAGUCUGCGCUUCGUCACCUGAGCUGCUGGGCAACUGUCUAGUGUACAGAGGAAGAAGAACUGGUCCUAACAAUCCUGGAGGGUCUCACUCUCUGGUGCCUCUGACUUAAUUCCUCCUUCUUGACUGUGUUGGCACCAGAUGUAUAGGAAACAGGGGUGGUCCCAGCCAAGGCACCAUGGAAAUCAAACUGGAACAUCCUUGAGCCAAGGUCUCCAGAAGAUUGGUGCUAUCUUGGCACAUGCUGCCCACCACAAAGGAUUGAUGGUUUCCACAGUUAAAAAACCUUUGAGUCUGCAAAAGCUCAGGAGAAGAACAAAGGACAUUUCCAAAUGAAACAUGUUCUGGUUUUUGGCAGCAGCUAGACAGACUGGCAUGAGAGUUCCCAAGCUAUGCCAUACUGUUUCAUCUACUGGAUGUUCUUCAGCAGAAUAAAAUGAUUUAUUUGAAAAAGUUUUGCUGAAGGAAGGUGGGUAAUUCAGAGUCAUCUCUUCUGUGGUAGUGUUGUGGAACAGUUUCCUUCAAGAUUAAAAUAUUCAAUGCUGCAGUAUAGGGAAGUUCCUCAAGCAGAAAGGGAAACAAAACAGCUUCAGGAAGUCCCUGAAACGGACCAGAUUCGCCGGGCCACUUCUCUGCUAUAGUAAGCAGUAAAAGCUGAGAGUUCCUCUCAGAGGAGCAGAAUUGAGCUGCUAAGAAGACCCCAGACAAGUCAGGAUGCCUGGAAGAACUUUAGUCCAACCUGUUGAGCUGCCUGCAGGCCAUGCAGUGUGCUCCAGGUUCCCAGCUUUUGCAAGCUAUCAGCCAUACUGGGGUGGGCUUGGUGAUGCAGCUGUCUUUGAGAGAUUGGAAGAGAGUC